rnacentral:tRNA from 1 species
GGUGCAUUCGUCUAGUGGUCCAGGACGCCGCCCUCUCACGGCGGAAACUCGGGUUCGAAACCCGGACGCACUA